rnacentral:rRNA from 1 species
GAUGAACGCUGGCGGCGUGCUUAACACAUGCAAGUCGAACGGAAAGGCCAGUGCUUGCACUGGUACUCGAGUGGCGAACGGGUGAGUAACACGUGGGUGAUCUGCCCUGCACUUCGGGAUAAGCCUGGGAAACUGGGUCUAAUACCGGAUAGGACAAUGGUUUGGAUGCCGUUGUGGAAAGUUUUUUCGGUGUGGGAUGAGCUCGCGGCCUAUCAGCUUGUUGGUGGGGUAAUGGCCUACCAAGGCGUCGACGGGUAGCCGGCCUGAGAGGGUGUACGGCCACAUUGGGACGGAGAUACGGCCCAGACUCCUACGGGAGGCAGCAGUGGGGAAUAUUGCACAAUGGGCGCAAGCCUGAUGCAGCGACGCCGCGUGGGGGAUGACGGCCUUCGGGUUGUAAACUCCUUUCGCUAGGGACGAAGCGUAUUUGUGACGGUACCUGGAGAAGAAGCACCGGCUAACUACGUG